UGCGUAGGCGGGUUUCUAAGUCAGAGGUGAAAGCCUGGAGCUCAACUCCAGAACUGCCUUUGAUACUGGAAGUCUUGAGUAUGGCAGAGGUGAGUGGAACUGCGAGUGUAGAGGUGAAAUUCGUAGAUAUUCGCAAGAACACCAGUGGCGAAGGCGGCUCACUGGGCCAUUACUGAUGCUGAGGCACGAAAGCGUGGGGAGCAAACA
rnacentral:rRNA from 1 species